rnacentral:lncRNA from 1 species
CGAUCGUACAUGCUUCCUCCGUGACUUACAAAAAAACAAUCCCUCCCCACCACCCUUCCUGCAGACUUUUGGCUUCAGUCGAUGGCUUCUCCGAGGCUAGUGAGCGAGGCCCAGUGGAAACCGCUGUAUCAGAGAAUAGCCGGCACAGCAGAAAAUCAAAGAAAUGAUCAAGUCCAGUUGGAGUUUCAAAGAAGGCUUUGGAACACACUAGGGGGAAACACAGGAUACG